rnacentral:tRNA from 1 species
GUCGAUCUAGCUCAGUUCGGCAGAGCGCUCGGCUUUUAACCGUGUGGUCGUGGGUUCGAUCCCCACGGUCGAUG